rnacentral:rRNA from 1 species
CCUACGGGCGGCAGCAGUGGGGAAUAUUGGGCAAUGGGCGCAAGCCUGACCCAGCAACGCCGCGUGAAGGAAGAAGGCUUUCGGGUUGUAAACUUCUUUUCUCAGGGACGAAGAAAGUGACGGUACCUGAAGAAUAAGCCACGGAUAACUACGUGCCAGCAGCCGCGGUAAUACGUAGGUGGCAAGCGUUAUCAGGAUUUACUGGGUGUAAAGGGCGUGUAGGCGGGACUGCAAGUCAGAUGUGAAAACCACGGGCUCAACCUGUGGCCUGCAUUUGAACCUGUAGUUCUUGAGUACUGGAGAGGCAGACGGAAUUCCUAGUGUAGGGGUGAAAUGCGUAGAUAUUAGGAGGAACACCAGUGGCGAAGGCGGGCUGCUGGACAGCAACUGACGCUGAGGCGCGAAAGCGUGGGGAGCAAACAGGAUUAGAUACCCCUGUAGUC